rnacentral:lncRNA from 1 species
ACUCUUGAAAUAGGAAGUCAAAGGAAAGCCAGAAUCAGAGAAAUCAAAUUAGAUUUAAAAUUCUUGUGAGCUCUCGGAAUGCAAGAUCAGGAUACACAUUUCGUCCUGAACAACUAAACCAAACAAAGCACGACACCAUUUAAUCAGAGGGCAAGAAUAAUCAAGACCCUGCGGCAGAUGAGGACCGGGCUCUGUAAGUGGACAGGACCCCUCAAGGCGGACCUGGGGUUCAAAUAAAGGUCUUCUGACAUCCGCUGCAAUUUAUCAGAAGACUCCCCAACCUUUUCUGGUGAUUUACAAGUCAGAAGGAACCGGUGGGGAGGGAGAAAAAAUCAGAGGAGAAGUGAAGCCUGCACCAUCCCAUUGAUGUCGAGAAACUGCAAUUCCUAUUAAGAACACUUGACUGUUUACUCAGCACGAGAACUUCAGCCUCAGUCUGCAUCAAUCUAAAUGCGUUUCGAGACGUCAGGCCCCCGAAAAGUGCAGACGAGGAGAAGGCUAAUCCACACCAUGGCUACAAAGCAAUGGCUGUUCCCUCCAAAGCUCUGCCAGCUCUAAGAAGGAGCAACCACAGCGAUGGUGGCAAUUGUGGCAUUAAAGACAACAUCCUUCGCUUAUCACAACAGUUUAGAAAGUACCUUUGGGUCUUCAUUAUCUCCAGCGACACGGGGGGAACCGAGGCCAGGGGGGAACCGAGGCCAGGGGAGGAAGAGCGUGUAAUCUCUGCACGGUCCCAUGAAUAAUAAACCUGAACUUGGGUUCCGAUCAGGACUUCUGCGUCCGAAUGCAAGGCCACCCAGUGGUUUUCAUGAGGACGUGCUGCUGCUUUCUUUCCUCCUGGGGCCUGGAACCUUGUGAGCCUGAAUCCAGAAACAAACCUCAGCCAAGUUUGUUUUCAUGAAAUUGAAAGCCAAGAAGUCAAGCCCAUGGACUGGCUUCUAGCGAACUGAAUAUUAAAAAGGUAUUACAAGGAGAAUCCAGCUGCCUGGCUGAUUGUUUCUUCCCCAAAUGGAUGAGAUGAUGAACGAAUGCUUUCAUUUACAUCAACAAUCAGUUGAAAGGGCUUCGCCAAAUAUUCAGUCCUCCCUAAGCCAAAAGUUACCAACUGAGUGCCUCCAAAGGACCAAAGGAAAAGAAAGCAGAAUGAGCAUCUUCUGUUUGGAGUUCAAGUUCCUUCUGCGACUUGCUUCUUGUCUCUAACCUCAACCUUUCUAACAUUAAAUGGGAAGACCAGUACCUGGCAGCACAAUUAGAAUUAUUAAAUGAAACAUUAUUAACACAUGUACAAGGAAUAUAGUUAAACAUAUGAUAGGUGCUUAAUAAAUGUUGGCUCUUUCCCCCCUCCGCUCCCGCAAUGAGUUAACUUUUCUCUGUGUUGACAGGGGUUGGCAGAUGUGGACAAGGUGGGUUCUGCUGAAGCAGAGGUUGCCAGAGAUCCCCAGGUCUGCCAUCCACCCCCUUCCUGAGGACAGAGCUAGAUCACAUGUACCAGCCUCCUUCCUAUCAGGCACUGCCACAUGCUUUCCCGUACAACUCUCCAUGCUCUGGUCCCCUCUGGCUUGAUGAAGAAAAGUACUGUGAGCUUGAAAGCUUCUCUUUCCUUCAGGGCACACCCAUUAGAAUGAACUUAAGCAAGAAAUAAACUUCAGAAGUGUUAACGCACUAGAAGUUGAGGGUUUAUUUAUUUCAGUAGCUGGGGUUAAUCUUCUCCAGUACGUACACACAAUAUUGUUCAUCCAUUUACAAAUAGAUCAGACACACGUAUAUGUCACCAACACAUAUACACACAUGCGUCAACACACAUAGAUGAACCAACACAUAUACACAUACAUAGCCACGCACAUAUACCAACACAUCAGAAAUUUAGCAUUUUGUGAGCACGAUGAACAUUUUAUUGACUUAGUUCUCAAGUUUUCGCCUGGUUAGUCUUGUCCUUGCAACUUAAAUAAUACUAUUAAGAAUUUUUAAAUUUAUAGUUGAAUUUAUAUUCGAGAGACUUUGAGGCUAGCCAGUCUGACGGAUGGCCAUCCUCUGCCUGAACCCCUCCUGUAACGUGGUAUCCACCGCCCUCCAUGGAAACGGAUGGUCAGGCAUCUCUGAGUGCUACAAUCAUGGGCUUUCUCUCAAGAACAGGGCUGCCUUCUCCAAGAUCUAUCCAUUUCCCAUGGCUCCACCGUCUGACAAAUCAAGUAGCAGCCUGUUGGUUUUUCUACAGGGAAGCCCAUUAAGCAAUUGAAAAUACAGUCACUUUGGCUGUAACUCUUGUCUGGAAAACACACAUUUGUUUCCUUGUAAUUGAUAGAUUAAGGAACCAUUUAAAUAUUAUGCAAAAUGUGCCUUUGCUUGUGUGCCAUUUCCUCUGCAGGAAACAUUGGGUGAAAGCAGAAAAACACACCCAUGUGAAUGGGGUCCUGUGGAAAUGCAGGCUGUCCACCUGUACCUGCAGGUACUCCUCACACACCUGUCUACCACCCAGUCUUCUGUGUGUGUCUUGAUUCAUAGCUCUGCUCCAGCUUUUCCUCCGGUUUCAGAAAACCGUCCUUCUACCCCUUUGCAAUAACGCGCAAGCUUCAACUCUUCCAAUGCUCACUUUUAUAAGCAACUUUGAGCCUUUUUCUGGAGGAAGUACUGUAUCUAGUGCAGUAUUCACACGUUUUUCUGAACCUUUGAGCAUGUGCCACUUUUUCUAUUGGGUCUUUUAAAAAUUGUUUUUCCAAUAUGCCAUUGAGAAAGUGUUUGAAUGUUGAGUUCCAGCCUAAUUUUUUCCAUAAUUCUGUGGUUUUUCUUGCACAGUUUUGCAUAGUGGGUGAUUUUUAGGAAUGCAUAUAUCACAUUUUAGCUGAACUGACUGUGGAACUUAUAUCUUCUGUUAAUCUGUUAAUAGAAUGGGGUGUAUUUGUCAGUAAGGUACAUCUCCACGUUGUCUCAAUAAAAAAGUACCAUUUGCCAGGUCUGGCCUGAUGCUGGCCACCCAGCAAUACACAGACACAUGUAGUCCUUGCUCAUUUAGAGCUUGCAGAUUAUAGGCCCACCAACCCCUAAUUCUCCUGGGAGGGAGAAUAAAUUGGCAAACAGGAAGAUGCUGAUGAAAUGCCAUAAUUUCUUUAUUUUUUUAAAGUGAAAAAUAUGAUAAUUGAUUUCUUUUAUUGAAAUGGUGUAAUUUUGGAGUUCCUGUCGUGGCUCAGUGGUUAAUGAAUCUGACUAGGAACCAUGAGGUUGUGGGUUCGAUCCCUGGCCUUGCUCAGUGGGUUAAGGAUCCGGCAUUGCCGUGAGCUGUGGUGUAGGUCGCAGACGGGCUCAGAUCCUGCGUUGCUGUGGCUCUGGUGUAGGCCGGCGGCUACAGCUCCGAUUAGACCCCUAGCCUGGGAACCUCCAUAUGCCGCAGAAGUGGCCCUAGAAAAGGCAAAAAGAAAAAAAAAAAAAAAAAAAA